rnacentral:lncRNA from 1 species
UUACUAGGUUCUGGCCUUUUGACUGUCUCAAGACAGAGGUUUGACACUGGAAAUUAGAGAAAGUAAAAUUUGGACAGGUAAGUGGUAAUUGGUAAGUGAUCUAGCUGUGUGAAUACAGGUUUGUGGGAAGAUGAUGGUGAAUGGGAAUGAGGAUUAGUGGACACCAGGUACUUAAAAUGAGUAACUAUAAUAGAAAUAUAGUUAUCAGGAGGAAUAGCCAUUUUAGAAAUUUUUGGUCAGAAAAUGAAUAGAAUCAAUAUGUAGAAAAUUUUAUAGAAUAUGUUCAUUGGAAAAGCAGGAUCUUGGAUCUUAUGUAAAAGCGGGGCAAAUAAAGGCAUUGUGGGAUAGUGAUACCUUUUGACUGAACUAAAAAUCCAUGGAGAACGAAGGACUUCAUCAGAGAUAUAGGAUUGUAUAGUUAUUAUGUGGCUUGAUUCACAUCAAUUGCAAGUGGGAAUAUUAUUGAUAGAGGAAAAUUGUUAUAUUUGAGGGAGAAUGGAGAGCAUGAAACAGCUUUAUGGUAACAUAUGCUACAGAAGAUAGAGGAAAGAAUUAGGUUCCGUUCAUUGGAUUUGCAACUGAAAGUUAAUUUGGAGGACCCAAAUAGAAAAAAAAAAAAAAAGAACACGUUUUUGGUACUUAGAUUCAUGCUUUAAAACUCGAAUUGGGCCUUGCUAGUUAUUUUAUUUUUAAAUUUCCUUUCGCCAAUUAGAAAUUCAUCUCUCCUAUCUCUACCUGCCAAUUCUUGCCUCUUGUUUCAUGAUGAAAAUUGAGACAACUCAGCAUGACAUUCUUUACAUUUUCUUUUUAAUCUGCAUGUUUUAGAUAUAGUUGUAUUUGCUGCAUAGUCAGCUUCUAGCAGCCUUUGCUUUCAACAUUUAGAUCAGAAAUUGAAGUGAGAUUCUAAAUACUCAAAAGACUCCCUAAGAUCCA